AUACGGAGGGGGCGAGCGUUAUUCGGAAUCAUUGGGCGUAAAGGGCGCGUAGGCGGCCUGACAAGUCAGGGGUGAAAUCCCUCGGCUCAACCGAGGAACUGCCUCUGAAACUGUCAGGCUUGAGGCCGGGAGAGGGUAGUGGAAUUCCCAGUGUAGCGGUGAAAUGCGUAGAUAUUGGGAGGAACACCAGUGGCGAAGGCGGCUACCUGGACCGGUUCUGACGCUGAGGCACGAAAGUGUGGGGAGCAAACAGGAUUAGAAACCCUAGUAGUCC
rnacentral:rRNA from 1 species